AAACUAACAAGGAUUCCCCUAGUAACUGCGAGUGAAGCGGGAAAAGCUCAAAUUUAAAAUCUGGCAGCCUUCGGUUGUCCGAGUUGUAGUCUGGAGAAGCGUUUUCCGCGCUGGACCGUGUACAAGUCUCCUGGAACGGAGCGUCAUAGAGGGUGAGAAUCCCGUCUUUGACACGGACUACCAGUGCUUUGUGAUGCGCUCUCAAAGAGUCGAGUUGUUUGGGAAUGCAGCUCAAAAUGGGUGGUAAACUCCAUCUAAAGCUAAAUAUUGGCGAGAGACCGAUAGCGAACAAGUACCGUGAGGGAAAGAUGAAAAGCACUUUGGAAAGAGAGUUAAACAGUACGUGAAAUUGCUGAAAGGGAAACGCUUGAAGUCAGUCGCGUUUGCUAGAACUCAGCCUGGCUUCGGCUUGGUGCAUUUUCUAGUGAACGGGCCAGCAUCACUUUUGGCUGCGGGAUAAAGGUCGCAGAAAUGUGGCACCCUCGGGUGUGUUAUAGUCUGUGGCUGUAUACCGUGGCUGGGAGUGAGGAACUCAGCACGCGCAAGCUGUGCUUAGGAUGCUGGCGUAAUGGCUUUAAACGACC
rnacentral:rRNA from 1 species